GCCAGAUAUCCGGGAUAACAGCAGCCCUCUUUCGGAGUGAAGAGCCCAAGAGGGGCUUAGCUCAAGAUACACGGUUCUGGGAAGAGAAGGUCCCAGGGCUGCUUGCAUCCGGGUGCACGUGUGCCCAAUGUGCAGAGGACUCAAGAUCCGAUUCAAGAACCAGAGACGGGCUGUCACCUGGCCCCUGUGGACCCAGAGCCUCCUCCCUCCCUCCAGCCCCUGCAGACUUGCUCAGGGUGGUAACUGCGUGUCCCCGCUUGGGCUAAGGUGUUAGGUGAAGAGUCCUUCCCUCGCGAAGGACACCGUUUCCUAACUGGAACCUUUACAAAGCUGACAUUUGGCAAGAAAGUCAUUUCUCACGAAAACGGUCACCCAUUCCAGUUCAUUGAAGCGAAAAUGCGACUCAUGUUUUACUUUUAUUUUUAGUUAGAUUUCAUUUUUUGAAUAGGUUAGUCUUCGUACAUCAUCAUUUUGGGCCCCUAGGAUCGUGAACCUUGGGACAGAAGGGCACUCACAUACGGCUAAGUGGGGAGACCCAGGAGAGUCUCUGUCCAGCACCGUGCGGGGUCCUCACGCAGGACAUCCCCACCGGGCUCUCCACGGGUCACCCCGGGUCAUCCUCAUUUGCCUCUUCCCUCCAGAACCAUCCUGCACAGCCCUGACACACACAUCACCUCCUCCCAAAGUGCUUUCAAAGGCCCUUGAUUGUUUGAAAUCACAUCUUUUCUGGCUUUCACAGCCUCCCUCCCUGGUCCUGUUUACCUAAGUACAUUUCCCACCACUUCCUGGUGCCACAUCCCAUUCCUGUGGGGUGUCUCGUGUCUGACGUCCUUCACGUCACGUCCACGCGCACUCCUGACUCGGGCCACGCUGCACUUCCUUCCGAGUGCCCAGGCUCAGCAGCACAUGCAUCGUGCAGAUCGUACCCCUUCCCGAGUCCUCCUGGGUCUGAGAUGCCUGCAGGCGUGACGCUCCCCACUCCGUCCCGAUAUGCCACCCCUGGCUGCACCUUGAGAGCGGGGACUUUGCUCUAUGCCCGUCGGUGCCUCACCGCACCCCGUAAAGGUCCGGACACACACUAACUGUUCCAGAAAAGCUAUUGGCUUUAAAUCCGCGGAGGGGGGUGAGGGCACUCUCCUGGCCCAGCUCUCUGGGUCCCGCUGCCUGGCCCUUCACUGUGUGGUCUCCUCCCACGUGGGAAGUGUGAGAAGCAGGCGACAGCACCGUCAGAUGGAAGAGGAGAGCUUCCUGACACGACAGUAGCUCCGCACGGGGACUCGCGGUGUUUCGCCGACAGUGGUGGAAAUCCAAAGACGCGGAUUCCACUGGAACGCCGCAAGGCUCCCUGUCGCGCUUUCCCUCAGUACAGGGUGAGCAAGCUCCAGACACCCGCUCUUGCUUCAGGAUGCUGUGGGGGACACGAGGACGGGCAGGCUCUGUGUUUCUAGUCGGCACCGGCAGAGUGGGGCUGCCCGGAUGAGGGUCAGAGAGGGUCCACCUUCUCUCCAGACCAGGCAUGUUGUCCCGCUCGUCUGUUCUCGGAGAAGAUUGUUGGGAGCCACAGAUACAUCUGUCUCUUCUUGAAACAGGCCACUGUCCCGUUUGCCACGGAGACACAAAAGCCAGAAGCAAGAUUUCAUCACUGCUGGAGUCUCCCUUGCACACCUUUCUGGAUCUUUAAGGAUUCUUCUAAACGUGCCAAGGACUCCAUGGUGGCAUCCCCAUUCCGUGUCUGGUUCUGGCAGAAGACUGAACUGAACACUAACACAGCCAGGCUCGGUCCCCUUAGGUCACAGCUGUGGUCAUCCCCUGGCCCGGGGGGUACUGACUCCUCUGUUUGCACAUUUUUUCAUGUUGUUUUAAGACACGGAAUGCAAACGCGGCCACCAUGUUAUGAUCAAGUUUUAAUGUACCAUAGAAAACAAUGUUUUUGUUAAGUUUUUUUAA